rnacentral:rRNA from 1 species
GGCGGAUUAGUAAGUUAGAGGUGAAAUCCCAGGGCUCAACCCUGGAACUGCCUUUAAUACUGCUAGUCUUGAGUUCGAGAGAGGUAAGUGGAAUUCCAAGUGUAGAGGUGAAAUUCGUAGAUAUUUGGAGGAACACCAGUGGCGAAGGCGGCUUACUGGCUCGAUACUGACGCUGAGGUGCGAAAGUGUGGGGAGCAAACAGGAUUAGAUACCCUGGUAGUCCACACCGUAAACGAUGAAUGCCAGACGUCAGCAAGUAUACUUGUUGGUGUCACACCUAACGGAUUAAGCAUUCCGCCUGGGGAGUACGGUCGCAAGAUUAAMACUCAAAGGAAUUGACGGGGGCCCGCACAAGCGGUGGAGCAUGUGGUUUAAUUCGAAGCAACGCGCAGAACCUUACCAACCCUUGA